rnacentral:rRNA from 1 species
AGAGCGAACGCUGGCGGCAGGCCUAAUACAUGCAAGUCGAACGGACCCUUCGGGGUUAGUGGCGGACGGGUGAGUAACACGUGGGAACGUGCCCUUUGGUUCGGAACAACUCAGGGAAACUUGAGCUAAUACCGAAUGUGCCCCCUCCUUUGAUUAGGGGGGUGGGAAAGAUUUAUCGCCAUUGGAGCGGCCCGCGUCUGAUUAGCUAGUUGGUGGGGUAAAGGCCCACCAAGGCUACGAUCAGUAGCUGGUCUGAGAGGAUGAUCAGCCACACUGGGACUGAGACACGGCCCAGACUCCUACGGGAGGCAGCAGUAGGGAAUCUUGCGCAAUGGGCGAAAGCCUGACGCAGCCAUGCCGCGUGAAUGAUGAAGGUCUUAGGAUUGUAAAAUUCUUUCAGCGGGACGAUAAUGACGGUACCGCAGAAGAAGCCCGGCUAACUUCGUGCCAGCAGCCGC